rnacentral:rRNA from 1 species
GGCGGCGUGCCUAAGACAUGCAAGUCGGACGGGAGGAUUCGUCCUCCAGUGGCGGACGGGUGAGGAGCGCGUGGAGAACCUGCCCUGGUGUGGGGGAUACCAGCCAGAAAUGGCUGCUAAUACCGCAUACGAUUGCCCGUUGAUAAAUGGGUAAGGAAAGCCGCAAGGCGCACUUGGAGGGGUCCGCGUCGGAUUAGCUUGUUGGUGGGGUAACGGCCUACCAAGGCGACGAUCCGUAGCUGGUCUGAGAGGACGGCCAGCCACACUGGGACUGAGACACGGCCCAGACUCCUACGGGAGGCAGCAGUUAGGGAAUUUUAACAAUGGGCGCAAGCCUGAUCGAGUGACGCCGCGUGUGGGACGACGCCUUUCGGGGUGUAAACCACUUUUCUUGGGGACGAGAACGGACGGUACCCGAGGAAUAAGCCUCGGCUAACUACGUGCCAGCAGCCGCGGUAAUACGUANGAGGCGAGCGUUGUCCGGAAUUACUGGGCGUAAAGCGCGCGUAGGCGGUCCCUUGCGU